ACCUGGGUGGCUCAGUUGGUUGAGCGUCUGACUUCAGCUCAGGUCAUGAUGUUGCAGUUUGCGAGUUCAAGCCCCGCAUCAGGCU
rnacentral:tRNA from 1 species